AGUGAGCGGCAAAAGCUCAAAUUUGAAAUCUGGCCCUUUCAGCGUUUUAAUUGUAAUUUGAAGAAAGUAUCCUUGGGCUGGUUCUUCUAGGUGCCUUGAAAAGGGUUAAAAGGGGGGACAACGGAAUGAUUAGAGCCCUUCCUUGGUGGGUUUUUUCCCAAAGAAUGUUU
rnacentral:rRNA from 1 species